rnacentral:rRNA from 1 species
UACGGGGGGGGCAAGCGUUGUUCGGAAUUACUGGGCGUAAAGGGCUCGUAGGCGGCCAACUAAGUCAGACGUGAAAUCCCUCGGCUUAACCGGGGAACUGCGUCUGAUACUGGAUGGCUUGAGUGUAGGAGAGGGAUGCGGAAUUCCAGGUGUAGCGGUGAAAUGCGCAGAUAUCAGGAAGAACACCUAUGGCGAAGGCAGCUCUCUGGGACGGUACUGACGCUGAGACGCGAAAGCGUGGGGAGCGAACAGG